CUACGGGGGGCACCAGUGGGGAAUAUUGCACAAUGGGCGCAAGCCUGAUGCAGCCAUGCCGCGUGUAUGAAGAAGGCCUUCGGGUUGUAAAGUACUUUCAGCGGGGAGGAAGGGAGUAAAGUUAAUACCUUUGCUCAUUGACGUUACCCGCAGAAGAAGCACCGGCUAACUCCGUGCCAGCAGCCGCGGUAAUACGGAGGGUGCAAGCGUUAAUCGGAAUUACUGGGCGUAAAGCGCACGCAGGCAGUUUGUUAAGUCAGAUGUGAAAUCCCCGGGCUCAACCUGGGAACUGCAUCUGAUACUGGCAAGCUUGAGUCUCGUAGAGGGGGGUAGAAUUCCAGGUGUAGCGGUGAAAUGCGUAGAGAUCUGGAGGAAUACCGGUGGCGAAGGCGGCCCCCUGGACGAAGACUGACGCUCAGGUGCGAAAUCGUGGGGAGCAAACAGGAUUAGAUACCCUAGUAGUC
rnacentral:rRNA from 1 species